rnacentral:rRNA from 1 species
GAUGAACGCUGGCGGCGUGCUUAACACAUGCAAGUCGAACGGUGAACGAGGGAGCUUGCUCCCUCCGGAUCAGUGGCGAACGGGUGAGUAACACGUGAGCAAUCUGCCCUGGACUCUGGGAUAAGCGUUGGAAACGACGUCUAAUACCGGAUACGAGACGUGAAGGCAUCUUCAACGUCUGGAAAGAACUUCGGUCCAGGAUGAGCUCGCGGCCUAUCAGGUAGUUGGUGAGGUAAUGGCUCACCAAGCCUACGACGGGUAGCCGGCCUGAGAGGGUGACCGGCCACACUGGGACUGAGACACGGCCCAGACUCCUACGGGAGGCAGCAGUGGGGAAUAUUGCACAAUGGGCGAAAGCCUGAUGCAGCAACGCCGCGUGAGGGACGACGGCCUUCGGGUUGUAAACCUCUUUUAGCAGGGAAGAAGCGAAAGUGACGGUACCUGCAGAAAAAGCACCGGCUAACUACGUGCCAGCCGCCGCCGUAAUAC